rnacentral:pre_miRNA from 1 species
UUUUCCAAAUAUUCGUUCUCGCGCAUCUUCAGCGCCCAUCAAACCGAUGGGCGCUGCAGAUGCGCGAGAACGGAUAUCACGGAA